GAAAAAGGUACAGCAGAUGAAUACUCCUAAGUUAAGACCUGAAUUCUAGAAACAAAACAUGGUCACUGAUGGCUAGCUGAAUUCUAGGUUAGCUGAGGGAUGUGGACUGGGGCCAGACAGGCCUAGAAGAACCUAGCCCAGCACAAGUUAUCCCAUCUGUAAACCCUUUGGUUGGGCCUCGAAAUAGAAAAGAAAAACUGAAAUGGUUGUCAUCUUCACUUUCAUUAAUUCAGAGCCCAAGCCUCUUCACUAGGAGAAAAGGCGGCAGUGGACAAAACAAGGUACUGAAGGUGGAAGGAGGAAAGGAGUUGAAGCUGUCAUCCCAAUGCAGUUUCCACCCAGAGAAAGGAAAGUGGAGCAGCGCAGCAUUUCUCCUUGCUUCCAACCCAGCCUGCUCCACUUCAAGCAGCUCCCAGUGAAGAUCCUGUGUUUGAAAGACUGUCUACCAAGCUGCAUUUAAGUAAUCAAUCUCCCCAUUGCUGCUGGAGCUAUAUAUAAGUGCAAGAGAGCUUUUGGUAAGUAUGAGAGCACCACAGUUUUCACAUUGAAUAGACAUAACUUUAGUCAAUUCUGAUGUCUUUUGUUCAGCCUGUGCAGCUUUUUCUAGCACAAAAAUGAUUUCCUUUUAGAAAACUUAAAAAAUUACUCAAGGACUAGUAUAAUUGCCGUCCUUACUCGAAUAUUAAUUAUAUUUCUCGUGAUUAUAAAACAUAUAAUAUAUAAAACACAUUUUCACUGCUAGAAAUAACUUGGAAAAUAUAGACAAGUAUUAUGAAAAAAAAUUUACCCUUAAUUCCACAAUACAAAUACAAAGCCAAAUGUAACAGAUUAUUUCCUUCCAGCCUUGUUUCUAAAUAUUUAUAAAACAUAAAUGGGACCAUAUUGUAUUGCAACCUGCUGUUUUUAUUUCAUUUUCCCAAGAUAAGAGCAAAAUCUUUUGAUAUACAAUUUUAUUUCAGGGGUUCAUAAUUUUGGGUUAUGAACAAUCACAUAACCCUGUGAUAAAUAUCGCUGAAUAUGGAACUUUUCCCAGUUAUUUUUCUACCACAGAAAUGGGAGGGUCUCUGGAGUGAAGAACAUGAACAUAAACAAAAAUCUUUUCAUUUAAAUGAUAAGAUUACUCUGAGGUUGAACCAAUUUACAUUCCCACCAACACUAUAAAGGUGCCAAUUCUUUCUACUCUCUGUAGCACUGGAUAUUGUUGUUUAAUCUUUGAUACUUUGGUAGGCAAAAAAUUGUAUUUAUUGCUUUAAUUCUUAUUUUGUUACUAAUAAGACUCUCUUACUAACUAGGUUGAACUUUGCCCCUCAUAUUUCAUAGCCAAUUGGGCCUCCCGUUCUGGGAGCUGUACACUCAGGUCUUCAGAGUUUCUCUCACGCAUUUUUAUGAAUGCUCUACAUACAAAUGACGUUAACCCUUUGCUGUGGUUGCAGCAAAUCUAUUCUCCUAAUUUGUCUUUAAGGUUGCGUAUGAUUUUUAUUUAGUCAAAUACACUGAUCUUUUCCUUUGUGAUUGUUUCUAUUCCUCUGUGCCUACAAGGUCAUCCUCCACUGGAAGAACGCCUAAGGUUUCCAAUGUCUUCGGACUCUAAGUGGGGACCAUUCCUGUAACAAUGUGACUAAUGUGAAAAAAGCUACUGAAAGGAGUGACCAGAAAGAAGCCUGCUAGUUCUUUGCCAAUGAAUGGGAAUGUUCUUUUUAACUACAUCAUGCCGCCUGGCAAGUGGUAGUGGAAAAAUCCCCCCCUUCUGCUCAGACGCCAGCUUACCUAGACGAGCCCUCGUCCUGGGUCCCUGCAUCUGACUGCGCAGUUCAGGCCUC